rnacentral:rRNA from 1 species
AAUGAACGCUGGCGGCAGGCCUAACACAUGCAAGUCGGGCGGAUGAUGGAAGCUUGCUUCCUGAUUUAGCGGCGGACGGGUGAGUAAUGCCUAGGAAUCUGCCUGUUAGUGGGGGAUAACUCGGGGAAACUCGGGCUAAUACCGCAUACGUCCUACGGGAGAAAGUGGGGGAUCUUCGGACCUCACGCUAACAGAUGAGCCUAGGUCGGAUUAGCUAGUAGGUGAGGUAAUGGCUCACCUAGGCUACGAUCCGUAACUGGUCUGAGAGGAUGAUCAGUCACACUGGAACUGGGACACGGUCCAGACUCCUACGGGAGUCAGCAGUGGGGAAUAUUGGACAAUGGGCGAAAGCCUGAUCCAGCCAUGCCGCGUGUGUGAAGAAGGUCUUCGGAUUGUAAAGCACUUUAAGUUGGGAGGAAGGGCUGUAAGCUAAUAUCUUGCAGUUUUGACGUUACCAACAGAAUAAGCACCGGCUAACUCUGUGCCAGCCGCCGCAGUAA